rnacentral:rRNA from 1 species
CCUACGGGUGGCAGCAGUGAGGAAUAUUGGUCAAUGGCCGGAAGGCUGAACCAGCCAUGCCGCGUGAAGGUCAGUGCCCUAUGGGCGUUAAACUUCUUUUGUGCGGGAGCAAUAAUGGUCACGUGUGGCCAGACGAGAGUACCGUACGAAUAAGCAUCGGCUAACUCCGUGCCAGCAGCCGCGGUAAUACGGGGGAUGCAAGCGUUAUCCGGAUUUAUUGGGUUGAAAGUGUGCGUAGGCUGUGAGGUAAGUCAGCGGUGAAAUGCCCCCGCUCAACGGGGUGAAGUGCCAUUGAUACUGCCUGGCUGGAAUGCGGAUGCCGUGGGAGGAAUGUGUGGUGUAGCGGUGAAAUGCAUAGAUAUCACACAGAACACCGAUUGCGAAGGCAUCUCACGAAUCCGCGAUUGACGCUGAUGCACGAAAGCGUGGGUAUCAAACAGGAUUAGAUACCCGAGUAGUC